CUAGGGGACUUUCCCCUACAGGUAGGUAUAUUAUUUUGUGUUAUCGUUUCUUCGAUACUGCUGUUUAUAAUUUCUAAGGUAUGUGAUUAGGAUAACCCCUAAUCAUCAACAAAAUUCAUAUCUUUAGCCAUUGCACUUAUCGAUUCACGGCUGUAUCAUGUAAAGAAUCACUUUGCAAUUAGUAAUCACAUAAUAUUAAUAGCGUACAUUCUUUAAUUUCAUAGUUAUUUAUUGAAAGUAUUGAAUUACUUAAAGUCGUGUUUCAAGUUUUAAUUACACCUGUGGUACUAGUUGUCCUUGAAGUGAUUGGCCGCCGCACCGAAAUCCGUCUGAAAUCGUACAUAAUUUAAGUGAUGGCAGCCCGCUGCGUUGUUUAGCCGUUCAGAGUAUCGUUGGAGGCCGAGUAAUCGAGUGUAGCAUGUUUGCUUGUGCCGAUUCAUCCUUGUCUUUGGGAUCGAGGAACAGCUCAAGUCGCUCUAUUACCUGAGAGAAAUGGGAGGGAAUGCCAGAACGUUACUGACUGAAAACCACCUCGUUCCAACUCCUGCUCCGUGCUGGGGCCUCGGUACCUAUUUGACGAUCUACCUUCAUCCUCGGACAAUUUCAGUCUUCUAGUCAUCAUUUAAUGUUACGAUUUCAUCUUCCGGGUCUAAUACUGGUAAACACAUUGUGCCUCUCAUGUCGUGCAAAAGCAAACCCAUAUGCCACACGAUAGUCAUGGUGUCUGACCAACGGCCUAUGAUCAGACACCAUGACUAUCGUUUAACAUUUUUGUCAUACAUUAUUUCUGUGUAGCUUUAACCAUUAAGGCUGCAUACGCGACGGAAGCUUAAAAAAUGAAGUAAGUUCUCCUGUUUUUCCAACAUUUCCCUUCACUGCUCGGCUCCUAUUGAUCGUAGCGUGAUGAAAAGUAUCCUAUUUUAUGCCCAGGUUAACAAAAAUUUUUUUAAUCACAUAUUUGGGUUU